CUCCAGCUGCAGCAUAAUGUCCCAUCAUCAAAGAAUACCACUGGCCAAAGGGAGCGUGACUGCUUCUGGACAAGUCUCAUGCAGCUUCAUCAAAUGAAAGGCAGAGGAUCAACUUUGGCUGUUGACAGAGACAAUUCUGCUGCCUGUGGAGACAAAUUCCUAAUGGUACAAAUUGAAAGGAGAAGGAAGAGCAUAUUCCUAGCCAAAUGGAGCCAUUCAGAAUUCAGGUAAAUUUGUGGAAGAAAUGGACACAUGUACCCUAGACGAUUGGUCAGAUGGAUUCAGACCUGGAGGUCCCCAGAUGAGGAUGCUCUCUCCACCCAUGAAGGCGGAAGCAACUUCUCCUACUUAGAUUUGCCUGAUGCAGUGAGACAUUGUGUGAAUUACCCAAGGCUACAUGGUCAGAUCAAAUAUAAUAGGGGUGCAUUGGACCCCUGAGGCUAAUCAACUUUUUCAAUGGUUUGGUGGCAACCUUCGUGUAUGUCAUCACUUCCCAGAUUUGCUCUAGCAAUUAAUUUCCUAAGGUCUUCCUGUGAGUAUUCAGAGAUAUGAUUUCCUGUGGACAACUGCAUCAGUGGAAUGAAUGACAACUUUUGCAACUGAGUGAAACUAUUGAAAUGUAAAAAGCAUCUUUGGGAUGGCUCCAGUAACACACAGGGUGAUGAAGAUGAUUGACAACUUCUCUUCUUCCUACAAGAGUUUAUUGCUGUGGGAUCUCUAUAUUUUGAAAGAAUUUUGUUCCAUGUAGUUUGGAGAUUGUAAGUAUUCAUCAUGGUGCCAUAUACUAUUGGUGUUAUUCUUACAUUUUACAAGAUAAAGCUAUGUCCACAACUGUGUCUGCAAUUGUGUCCACAAUUGCCUACAAUAAUGGUCCAGCUGAAGAAUAGUUUGUUAGUUGAAUUUUGAAGAAGGUAUGGAUUUAAGGUUGAAUUUUGAGGAUAUAUGGAUUUUUCAUCUGUUAUUGUAUGAAAGAUAGCAAGCUUCUGAUGUGUAAUUCUGGACACCAGACUCUGUCUUGUCAGGUAUUUGGUAGGUGCUAAAUUUUCAGAGCUUUCAGUAAUCAACUGCCCAGUUUCUACUAUUUUGUGCACAACCUGCAUUGGUCAAAAAGUGUUGGCUCCUUAAAAAAAAAAAACAAUAACAACAACAACAAAAACUAUCUGCAACUUGUGUUGGUAAUGACCUAGUCCUGAAUUACCAUCAUAAACUCUUCCAUUUCCACAAUU